ensembl:snRNA U6 U6 spliceosomal RNA
GUGCUCGCUUUGGCAGCACAUGUACUAAAAUUGGAACGAAACAGAGAAGAUUAGCAGGGCCCCUGCACAAGGACGACACGCAAAUUCAUGAAGUGUUCCAUAUUUUU